GAAUUUAUAGCUCGGGGUAGAGCGCGUGCUUAGCAUGCACAAGGUCCUGGGUUCAAUCCCAGCACCUCCA
rnacentral:tRNA from 1 species